rnacentral:misc_RNA from 1 species
CGACGAGGUAUCGACCAGAGACGGCAGUCGGCAGCAUAUUCAUUAACGCAGCCACAUUCCAAUGGCGCCGAAGAAGUCUUCGGCGGCGGCGAAGAAGGCCUCAACGGCGGCCAGCGCCGCAAAGCGUGGGCAGGAUGCGCAGCAGAAGCGGGCGCUGAAGGAGAAGGUGGAACAGGAGGCACUUGCGCAGUGGAUCGACUCCAUCGACCCGUUGCUCGACAAGGCCGCUGAGAACCCGAUUCAGAUGGAGGAGCUUUUUUCAACGAAGCUGGUGCACCGCACUUUUUCUCAGCCUGGCACCGGGGAGCGGCCGUACGACUGGAGCGAGUUCCGCAAGGUGCUCGAAAGCCGCAACGCCAGCAGCCCGCGCUGGUUCAUGCAGCUGCGCGAAGAGGACCUGCUCUCUGGCGACGAUGGUAUGGAGGGUGUCACGGUGGACUGCUACAUCAUUGCCGAGGCCAUGCAGCCGACGGUAGCGCCAGGGGAGUACAUUGUAAAGGUCCACUGGCCCUACAGCGACGCCGAGGACAACGCCCCAGAGCGCAUUCUACCUCUGGAGGGUCAGGGCAUGUGUUGGCGACGCGUUGUGAAGGCGGACGGCAGCGACAUGAACGUGUUUCUUCUACAGAAGCGCGGAAAGACCGCCAGCGCGGGCGGCAGUGGGGCUGCCGCUACCGCCACGCUUGCCUCACCCGUCUUCGCCUUCGGUGCCUCAGCCAGCAGCACGGCGGCGGCAGCAGCAGGUGCCCCCACAACCACAAGUGCGCCUGGCUUCAGCUUUGGAAACACGCCCUCCGCAGUAGGCUCUGUGCAAUUGACCGCGGCCACCAGCGCUACCUCGGCGACGCCGGGGCUCGGGUUUGGCUUUGGCGCUGCGCCUCAGUCAGUGGGAGAGGCUCCUGCAGGCGUCGCGUCGGGUUCCUCCAACGGCAUCUCCUUCAGCUUCAGUUUCGGACAGCAGGCGGCGAAGCCACCCGCCCCAGGCAGCGUUGACUUUGGAUUCUCACCGGCGACGCAGACUCCCGCCGGCGCCGCUACCAAGCCUCCACUACCGGGCUCCUCGACCGCGGCACCAGUCGCAGAGGAGUCUGGCGAAGUCGAGGUGCAGCCCCUCAAGACAUCAGAGGUCCUUUUCGCUCUGUGGACGCGUAAGCGGCUGACGGACCUGGCCAAGGAGAUCCGCUCUGGCAGCCGCAUCGUGCGCGAGGACUUCCCGCUGGAUGGCACCAAGAAGAUCAAGCUGGUCAUGCAGAAUGACCGCAAGGACGACGUCGCGACUACCGCGCGCGGGCUGCUGCUCAAUCGACUCUUCGCCAAGCAAAACGACGGCGUCAAGGCGAUCGACAGGUGGAUCAACGACUGCCCCGUUUUCGACGAGGCGCUGACGUCGGCGCUGCAGGGGUUCCGUGAGCGACAGCUGAGCGAGCUCGCGAGCAAGUCAGACCUGUUUCAAAGCCUCCACAACCAGUACUACGCCAAGAUUGCGGCGGAGCUGCAGCGCAUUGUCGCCUUACGCGACACAGCGGCUAACAAGGAGCUGGAGCGCAUCAAUGCCAUCAUGAGCCAGAUUAAAGAGCGCAAGUUGGCGGAGAAGAGCGGCUUCCGCCUCCUCAAGUUCUACGCCAAGAACGACGUACAAAAAUUCCGGCCCUUCGGCAAAAUCAGCGGCAUCUCUGAGAUGGGCGAGUCGGUGGACGUGUGCGUCCCUCCUGCGCACGUGAACAUCAACCCCUUUACUGGGAAGCCGAUCUAGCCAAGCCGGGUGCUGGUGAUAAAGGACGCCCAAGGCUACGGAAGAGAAUUAAACGCACCUAUGUAUGUGCGCGCGUGUAGGACGUUGCGUGUUUGUGACUAAGCAUAUCUCUGACCAGCUGCAGGACCAGGGCCGAUGUGUACCGCAGGUGCGAGCGCGCUGCUGCUGCUGCUGCUGCGGCACCACCGAUGGUUCACCGUACCCUUCCCACCUGUGGAGUUGGUCGAGAGAUUAGAAUGAUGGUCCGCCUACGGGUAACGACAUCUCUCCCAGUCCCUCUUUUUUCUUUUUUCGUUUCGCCGCGCGCCGACGAUGUGUGCGGCUCAGGGCACGACGGGAGCGCGCUUGUUUCCUGCCUUGCGCCCCUUCCCGUCCUUGCAGCUCCCACGCCCUGCAUUGCAGGGCGAACGAAAAGCUGCGGCUGUGCGGUCAGGCGUGGCUCCGCCUCGCUUUUCUUCAUUGGGCCCCCUCAUUCCAGGCCACUUCUCUUCCGUAUCCAGCGGGCCGUCCC